rnacentral:sRNA from 1 species
CUCCCAUUGUUGCACCAAAUUUUACUGUUGAGGAUACUUCUGCAGAUUCGAUAUUAGUAAAAUGGGAAGACAUUCCUGUGGAAGAACUUAGAGGCUUUUUAAGAGGAUAUUUGUUUUACUUUGGAAAAGGAGAAAGAGACACAUCUAAGAUGAGGGUUUUAGAAUCAGGUCGUUCUGACAUAAAAGUUAAGAAUAUUACUGACAUAUCCCAGAAGACACUGAGAAUUGCUGAUCUUCAAGGUAAAACAAGUUACCACCUGGUCUUGCGAGCCUAUACAGAUGGUGGAGUGGGCCCGGAGAAGAGUAUGUACGUGGUGACAAAGGAAAAUUGUAAGUUUCAGGUUGCUGUUGAGGUGCUUUCCAUCCUGCAUGCGUAGUGUUCCAGUGAUUCUUGGUUUAUGUAGGAACCCCUCCCCGCCCUUUCUAAAAAACAUGCACAUUUUGUUGCAGUUUUUGGCUGGUAGAGGGAAGGGUUAAAAAGCUGUAAGAUUACUUCAUGUUUAUUCUUGUCAGUUAUUUGAAGUUAUUUCCAAAUGAGUACCUAAGAAAUUA